CCCCAACCCCCUUGGUCAGGAGCAAGGCAGGCCGGCGGUGCGGGGUCCCACCUUGAACUCGGGACCGAGUCUCAGGAAGAUGCUGGUCUUCUUGUCCCACAGCAGCGUCAGGCCGGCGUCGGUGUUCACCACCAGGUCUGCUCUGAGGGACAUGACUGCUGCAUACUCAACGCAUGUGUUUCCUUCCGACCGAGUCCACGGCUGCCCUGGGACAGGGAAGGUGCCCUGAGGGCAGGUGCAGCCAUCCACGGGCACAAAGCUGACGCCACAGGUGACA
rnacentral:lncRNA from 1 species